rnacentral:misc_RNA from 1 species
GUAGAAUGCAGUGGGUAAACAAAUGUUGGUUACAAUUAGCGACGUUUUAUUCUGCCCUCACGGGUUCUUGCCAAAUUCUCGGCGGAGUUGGGUCGCGUUCGCAGAAGGGUGUUCGGAUUUGAAAGUACCAUUAGAAUGGCCGAAUUACUCGAGCGGCGAGGUAGUUUGGAAGGCACAACUGUCCACGAGUGAGGCACCCCUUUCCGGAGUUGGCUAGCACUUCCAAUGACCUAUCCGGAAACAAUCGGCGUACGUGUAUUCCCACAAAGACCAAUGCUGAACAAUAAUGUGAAAGAUCUGAUCGAAUGAGCUCGAAUGAAGUAAAUGAUAACGAACAGCCACCAGACAAUCAGGACGUGCCUGUUACUGAGAAUGAAAGCAACAGAAAAAAGGAAAAGUCCAAAAAGGAAAAACAAAAGAACAAAAAAAAUAAAAAGAAUGACAAGAAAAAACAAGACGACAAAGAAAACCGGCAGGAUGCCGAAGCCACAGAGUGCAACUUCCCUGAAGAAAAUAACAACAAGAAAAAGAAAAAACAGAAGGAAAAAAAGAACACAAACAAGAAAUUUGUUUUGCCAGAAGACAAAAUAAAUGCAGAGUUAGAACAGACGAUAGAUGAAAAAAGAGACCUGUGUGCCGAAACGGACGAUACGUUGCCGAGUUCUUCUACAAAAUAUACAAACGAAAAGUACAUAAAUGAGAAACUCGCAAAACUCAAGGACGAUCUGGAACGUCUACAAAGCAACCAGGAAAAGAAAAUGCAGGAGAUAGUAGAUUUGAGGAAGAACAAAGAAUCGAUUCUGGCUCAGCAGAAAAAGUUGAAAAUGGAAUAUGAAGAGUGGAAAUUGAGACAGGCACAAGCGCACAAAGAGUUCAAAAGAAAGACGAAAGAUGAAAUCAAAGAAAGGCAAAUUCGAUUGAAAAAUGAACACGAAAGGUGGAAACAAAAACAAAAAGAGAAAAGAAGGGAUACAAAGCGUAGGCUCAAAGAAGAAUACAGAGAUCGAAAAAGGCGUAGAAAAAGUAUAGACUCUUUGAAUAGCGACUCAGAAUCACGUUCAAGUAGUGAAAGUGUUGAUAAAGUUAGCAGCAAGAAAAGCAGGAGUCUUCUACGCAAUCACUCAGCCAACCUAUCAAAUCGUGAACAGGUCAGAAAUUUCUUCAGUGGCGUUGCUCAUUCUAUGUACCGGACACUCGGGUAAGGAUUCGAAAGGCCUGGCGCUACAUUAAGAAAAGGGUUACUCGAAAAGUCAUACGCAGGGCGUUCCGUAUUUGUGUUAAAAAAACCAGAAAAGCUGCCAAUUUUAUAACUUAUGUAGUUACAAAUUACUACAACUUUAUAAUUUUAGUUGUUUUGGUGGUGUUUUCAACCUACAUAAUUUUUGUUAGAAAAGGACCGGCACCACUAGAGCCCGGAUAAUUUCCUUUCUUUUUAGGCACCACCUUGUUACGCUGGAACUGUUUUGUCUUUCAUAUGAAUCUCUUGUCCACUUUUAUAUUAAAUAUUAUUGCUUGUCGAUUCAACGUUUGUUUAUUU